rnacentral:rRNA from 1 species
GACGAACGCUGGCGGCGUGCUUAACACAUGCAAGUCGAACGGAAAGGCCCUGCUUUUGUGGGGUGCUCGAGUGGCGAACGGGUGAGUAACACGUGAGUAACCUGCCCUUGACUUUGGGAUAACUUCAGGAAACUGGGGCUAAUACCGGAUAGGAGCUCCUGCUGCAUGGUGGGGGUUGGAAAGUUUCGGCGGUUGGGGAUGGACUCGCGGCUUAUCAGCUUGUUGGUGGGGUAGUGGCUUACCAAGGCUUUGACGGGUAGCCGGCCUGAGAGGGUGACCGGCCACAUUGGGAGUGAGAUACGGCCAAGACUCCUACGGGAGGCAGCAGUGGGGAAUAUUGCACCAUGGGCGGAGGCCUGAUGCAGCAACGCCGCGUGCGGGAUGACGGCCUUCGGGUUGUAAACCGCUUUCGCCUGUGACGAAGCGUGAGUGACGGUAAUGGGUAAAGAAGCACCGGCUAACUACGUG